UGGGGAAUCUUGCACAAUGGGCGCAAGCCUGAUGCAGCCAUGCCGCGUGUAUGAAGAAGGCCUUCGGGUUGUAAAGUACUUUCAGCGGGGAGGAAGGGAGUAAAGUUAAUACCUUUGCUCAUUGACGUUACCCGCAGAAGAAGCACCGGCUAACUCCGUGCCAGCAGCCGCGGUAAUACGGAGGGUGCAAGCGUUAAUCGGAAUUACUGGGCGUAAAGCGCACGCAGGCGGUCUGUCAAGUCGGAUGUGAAAUCCCCGGGCUUAACCUGGGAACUGCAUUCGAAACUGGCAGGCUAGAGUCUUGUAGAGGGGGGUAGAAUUCCAGGUGUAGCGGUGAAAUGCGUAGAGAUCUGGAGGAAUACCGGUGGCGAAGGCGGCCCCCUGGACAAAGACUGACGCUCAGGUGCGAAAGCGUGGGGAGCAAACAGG
rnacentral:rRNA from 1 species